rnacentral:rRNA from 1 species
UACGAAGGGGGCUAGCGUUGCUCGGAAUCACUGGGCGUAAAGGGUGCGUAGGCGGGUCUUUAAGUCAGGGGUGAAAUCCUGGAGCUCAACUCCAGAACUGCCUUCGAUACUGAAGAUCUUGAGUUCGGGAGAGGUGAGUGGAACUGCGAGUGUAGAGGUGAAAUUCGUAGAUAUUCGCAAGAACACCAGUGGCGAAGGCGGCUCACUGGCCCGGUACUGACGCUGAGGUGCGAAAGCGUGGGGAGCAAACAGG